rnacentral:lncRNA from 1 species
GCGCCCCAUCAGAACCUUUCGCUUCUUCGCUCAUGACGGCACAAUGCAGAGCAAUUUCCCAAUCUGCUGUAGCCCUAAUUUUGGGUGGAAAGAGGGCAGACAUGUGGCGUCAUCUCAUUGGCCACGUCCAUAUGAGUUAAAGUUGGUCAACAGUCAAAGGACAAUGAGAUGAGUAGCAAUUGAUGUGAAUCAACAGAGGGACUGAUUGUGGCCUAUAUAUACAAGUGCUGGU